rfam:Sorghum bicolor cultivar BTx623 chromosome 9, whole genome shotgun sequence.
GGAUGCGAUCAUACCAGCACUAAAGCACCGGAUCCCAUCAGAACUCCGAAGUUAAGCGUGCUUGGGCGAGAGUAGUACUAGGAUGGGUGACCUCCUGGGAAGUCCUCGUGUUGCGUUCC